AUGAGGCUUUGGUUGUAUCUCGUUCUCAUUGCAGCAGCGUUUGAAGGUGUCCUGUCCCAGGUGCAGCUGGUGGAGUCCGGAGGGGAUGUGAAAAAGCCCGGAGACUUUCUCCGCCUCUCCUGCAAAGCCUCCGGGUUCACCUUCGGUGACUACGAGAUGAGCUGGGUCCGCCAGGCUCCCGGGAAGGGGCUGGAGUGGGUCGCCAGCAUUUACAGCACCAGCAUAUACUACAGUGACUCGGUAAAAGGGCGAUUCACCGUCUCCAGAGAUGACCCCAACAGCCUGUUGUACCUGCAAAUGACCGGCCUGAAGCCCGAGGACACCGCCCGCUAUUACUGUGCGAGAGACACAGUGAGGGGAAUCCCGAUACUGCUAAUACAAAAACUCAAGAUGCAGAAUCGUCCUUCCGCCAUUCGCCGCGCGGGGGCAGCACUUCCCCGAACAAUCCAGCCCUGGGCACAGGAACGGGAGCUACAACCAGAGCGAAAAAUCAUCUCUCGUCAGGUAUCGUCUCUCAAGUGCAGCUGGUCCAGUCCGUUCCAGGAGCGGUGAACCCUGGACAGUCCCUCACACUGAGCUGUGCUGUCUCUCUGGUGAAACUGUGGAGAGUGGCUCUGCUUGGACCUUGGUCAGGCAGCCUGUAGGGAACGGGCUGGAGUGGAUGGAACAUAUUUUCCAAAAUGUUGAUGACGAGUUGGAAACAGAUUAUGCCCCGUCUCUCCAAACCGAUUUACCAUCUCUGCAGACACCGCCAAGAACCAGG